GAGUUUGAACCUGGCUCAGGAUGAACGCUGGCGGCGUGCCUAAUACAUGCAAGUCGAGCGAACCACUUCGGUGGUGAGCGGCGAACGGGUGAGUAACACGUAGGUGAUCUGCCCAUCAGACGGGGACAACGAUUGGAAACGAUCGCUAAUACCGGAUAGGACGAAAGUUUAAAGGUGCUUCUGGCACCGCUGAUGGGUGAGCCUGCGGCGCAUUAGCUAGUUGGUAGGGUAAAGGCCUACCAAGGCGACGAUGCGUAGCCGACCUGAGAGGGUGAACGGCCACACUGGGACUGAGACACGGCCCAGACUCCUACGGGAGGCAGCAGUAGGGAAUCUUCGGCAAUGGGCGAAAGCCUGACCGAGCAACGCCGCGUGAAUGAUGAAGGCCUUCGGGUUGUAAAAUUCUGUUAUAAGGGAAGAACGACUUUAGUAGGAAAUGGCUAGAGUGUGACGGUACCUUAUGAGAAAGCCACGGCUAACUACGUGCCAGCAGCCGCGGUAAUACGUAGGUGGCGAGCGUUAUCCGGAAUUAUUGGGCGUAAAGAGCGCGCAGGUGGUUGAUUAAGUCUGAUGUGAAAGCCCACGGCUUAACCGUGGAGGGUCAUUGGAAACUGGUCGACUUGAGUGCAGAAGA
rnacentral:rRNA from 1 species